AACGAACGCUGGCGGCAUGCCUAACACAUGCAAGUCGAACGAUGCCUUCGGGCAUAGUGGCGCACGGGUGCGUAACGCGUGGGAAUCUGCCUUUCGGUUCGGAAUAACUCAGGGAAACUUGAGCUAAUACCGGAUAACGUCGCAAGACCAAAGAUUUAUCACGGAAAGAUGAGCCCGCGUAGGAUUAGCUAGUUGGUGAGGUAAAGGCUCACCAAGGCGACGAUCCUUAGCUGGUCUGAGAGGAUGAUCAGCCACACUGGGACUGAGACACGGCCCAGACUCCUACGGGAGGCAGCAGUGGGGAAUAUUGGACAAUGGGCGAAAGCCUGAUCCAGCAAUGCCGCGUGAGUGAUGAAGGCCUUAGGGUUGUAAAGCUCUUUUACCCGGGAAGAUAAUGACGGUACCGGGAGAAGAAGCCCCGGCUAACUCCGUG
rnacentral:rRNA from 1 species